rnacentral:rRNA from 1 species
AGUGAACGCUGGCGAUAGGCCUAACACAUGCAAGUCGAACGGCAGCACAGUAAGAGCUUGCUCUUACGGGUGGCGAGUGGCGGGCGGGUGAGGAAUACAUCGGAAUCUACUUUUUCGUGGGGGAUAACGUAGGGAAACUUACGCUAAUACCGCAUACGACCUACGGGUGAAAGCAGGGGAUCUUCGGACCUUGCGCGAUUGAAUGAGCCGAUGUCGGAUUAGCUAGUUGGCGGGGUAAAGGCCCACCAAGGCGACGAUCCGUAGCUGGUCUGAGAGGAUGAUCGGCCACACUGGAACUGAGACACGGUCCAGACUCCUACGGGAGGCAGCAGUGGGGAAUAUUGGACAAUGGGCGCAAGCCUGAUCCAGCCAUACCGCGUGGGUGAAGAAGGCCUUCGGGUGGUAAAGCCCUUUUGUUGGGAAAGAAAAGCAGCAGGUUAAUACCCCGCUGUUCUGACGGUACCCAAAGAAUAAGCACCGGCUAACUUCGU